rnacentral:rRNA from 1 species
UACGUAGGUGGCAAGCGUUGUCCGGAAUUAUUGGGCGUAAAGCGCGCGCAGGUGGUUUCUUAAGUCUGAUGUGAAAGCCCACGGCUCAACCGUGGAGGGUCAUUGGAAACUGGGGAACUUGAGUGCAGAAGAGGAAAGUGGAAUUCCAAGUGUAGCGGUGAAAUGCGUAGAGAUUUGGAGGAACACCAGUGGCGAAGGCGGUCUGCUGGGCAGUUGCUGACACUGAGGCGCGACAGCGUGGGGAGCAAACAGG